UGUUUGACGGUACCUAUAAAGGAAGCACCGGCUAACUCCGUGCCAGCAGCCGCGGUAAUACGGAGGGUGCAAGCGUUGUUCGGAAUUAUUGGGCGUAAAGCGCGUGUAGGCGGUCAUUUAAGUCUGAUGUGAAAGCCCUGGGCUCAACCCGGGAAGUGCAUUGGAAACUGGAUGACUUGAAUACGGGAGAGGGAAGUGGAAUUUCGAGUGUAGGGGUGAAAUCCGUAGAUAUUCGAAGGAACACCGGUGGCGAAGGCGGCUUCCUGGACCGAUAUUGACGCUGAGACGCGAAAGCGUGGGUAGCAAACAGGAUUAGAUACCCUGGUAGUCCACGCCGUAAACGAUGAGCACUAGGUGUCGCGGGUA
rnacentral:rRNA from 1 species